rnacentral:rRNA from 1 species
GAUGAACGCUAGCGGCAGGCUUAACACAUGCAAGUCGAGGGGCAGCACUUCGGGUGGCGACCGGCGCACGGGUGAGUAACGCGUAUGCAACCUACCUUUAACUGGGGGAUAGCCCAGGGAAACUUGGAUUAAUACCCCAUAAGACAUUAUUAUCGCAUGAUAAAGAUGUUAAAGUUCCGGCGGUUAAAGAUGGGCAUGCGUGCCAUUAGGUAGUUGGCGGGGUAACGGCCCACCAAGCCUGCGAUGGCUACGGGGUCUAAAAGGAUGGUCCCGCACACUGGUACUGAGACACGGACCAGACUCCUACGGGAGGCAG